CCCACAACCCAUCACAUCAGGACGACCAAGCGUGGAUGAGAGCAUGGGAGGCUCAGCACAGUGUAGGUAGACAACACCAUUUUUGAGUUAGACCCAGGGAAACGGCCUCAAGGGUUCACGGAAAGCCGAGAAAUAUGGUGCAGACUUAACCGCCUCAGAACUGGCUUCGGUAACUGUGCGUACCUCUGGCACAAGUGGGGGUGGAGCGAGUCGGCGGCGUGCGAAUGCGGACACCCAGAGCAGACGGUGCAGCACAUGGUACUCGAGUGCCCCGUCACGAAAUACAACGGACCACCUGAGGAUUUUAAACACCUGACAAAAGAUGCGAGUAUUUAUCUGCAGAAAUGUAAAUUUUGAAUUAAGUUUUUUAUAUGUAUGUAACCAGUGUGUAAACGCCAUACGAUAAAUAAAUAAAUAAGUAUCGGUGAUCUUAAAUAACAAUUAGCUUCAGUAUAAUUUCAUAACUUCAGUGAGAAAAUUAUCGGUUAGUCUUUAGUUAUUGUGUACUCAGUUGUGACCUAGAGGCCGCAUGUGUUUUUGGUUACUUAGCGCAUGACUUUUUGGUGGUCGAUAAGAACGGCUGCAAUGGCAGUGCGCGGAUAAGCAUUGCACUAAGUAAUUCAGUGCAUUUGAUAAGGAGAAAUUUAGACACGCAGUUAGUAAGUUAUAAUUUAAAGCAUCAAAAUUUUGUAUAUCUAACUCAGUGCUUCUAAUUUCAGAUAUGAGGAAACGACUAAAGACAUUGACCCCGUCAGAUGCCAAAAAAACGUACCAAAUGGUGAAAGAAUUGAAAAGUGCUGAGGAGAAGAUCAACGAAGCUGUCAAAAGGACCGACGAAAUCAAAUUAAGUCAACUUAAAGCUAAAUUGUAUCCCGCUCCUAAACCCCCUGACUACUUUUAUAUUCCCAAACAAUAAAUUUGUCUUAAAAGUAUUUUUAAGUUUACAACAAAUUAUAAUUUGAAUAUGAAAUAAAUCAUGAUCUCGCUGUA